rnacentral:rRNA from 1 species
AUUGAACGCUGGCGGCAUGCCUUACACAUGCAAGUCGAACGGCAGCACGGGAGCAAUCCUGGUGGCGAGUGGCGAACGGGUGAGUAAUAUAUCGGAACGUGCCCAGUCGUGGGGGAUAACGCAGCGAAAGCUGUGCUAAUACCGCAUACGAUCUAUGGAUGAAAGCGGGGGAUCGCAAGACCUCGCGCGAUUGGAGCGGCCGAUAUCAGAUUAGGUAGUUGGUGGGGUAAAGGCUCACCAAGCCGACGAUCUGUAGCUGGUAUGAGAGGACGACCAGCCACACUGGAACUGAGACACGGUCCAGACUCCUACGGGAGGCAGCAGUGGGGAAUUUUGGACAAUGGGCGCAAGCCUGAUCCAGCAAUGCCGCGUGCAGGAUGAAGGCUUUCGGGUUGUAAACUGCUUUUGUACGGAACGAAAAGGCUCUGGUUAAUACCUGGGGCACAUGACGGUACCGUAAGAAUAAGCACCGGCUAACUACGUGCCAGCCGCCGCGGUAACAC